rnacentral:rRNA from 1 species
UUCCGGUUGAUCCCCCCCGGAGGUUACUGCUAUCGAGGUUCGACUAAGCCAUGCGAGUCGAAUGUAGCAAUACAUGGCGUACUGCUCAGUAACACGUGGACAACCUACCCUCCGGACGGGUAUAAACCCGGGAAACUGGGUAUAAUCCCCGAUAGAUCUCGGUCGCUGGAAUGCCCCGAGAUCGAAAGCUCCGGCGCCAGAGGAUGGGUCUGCGGCCUAUCAGGUAGUAGUGGGUGUAGCGUACCUACUAGCCUACGACGGGUACGGGUUGUGAGAGCAAGAGCCCGGAGAUGGAUUCUGAGACACGAAUCCAGGCCCUACGGGGUGCGGCAGGCGCGAAAACUUUACAAUGCCGGCAACGGCGAUAAGGGGACCUCGAGUGCCAGGUUACAAAUCUGGCUGUCGUGAUGCCUAAAAAGCAUUGCAUAGCAAGGGCCGGGCAAGACCGGUGCCAGCCGCCGCGGUAACACCGGCGGCUCGAGUGGUAACCGUUAUUAUUGGGUCUAAAGGGUCUGUAGCCGGCCGGAUAAGUCUCUUGAGAAAUCCAGCAGCUCAACUGUUGGGCUUUCAGGAGAUACUGUUCGGCUCGAGGCCGGGAGAGGUGAGAGGUACUUCAGGGGUAGGGGUGAAAUCUUGUAAUCCUUGAAGGACCACCAGUGGCGAAGGCGUCACACCAGAACGGACCUGACGGCAAGGGACGAAAGCUAGGGGCACGAACCGGAUUAGAUACCCGGGUAGUCCUAGCCGUAAACGAUACUCGCUAGGUGUCGGCCACGGUGCGACCGUUGUCGGUGCCGUAGGGAAGCCGUGAAGCGAGCCACCUGGGAAGUACGGCCGCAAGGCUGAAACUUAAAGGAAUUGGCGGGGGAGCACCACAACGGGUGGAGCUUGCGGUUUAAUUGGAUUCAACGCCGG